CUGCAAUGAAGCGGAAUCGGGGAGACAAAAAGAACUCCACUCUACCCCAUCCUCCCCGCGCCGUGUAAUCACUCGCCUAAAAAAUAUCACUUGUAAUUAAUAUUAUUGUACUUACGCGUGUCUAUAUAUGUAUUUUAUCCGUAUACGGGGAAAAAAAAAAAAAAAAAAAAAAAAAAAUGAAAAAAUCCAUUAGUCCGAGUAUUCAAUAACAGUACACGAAAUCGAUUUUAGUUGAGCGCGUUUAUUAUAAUUAUACAUUUUGUUUUGAUA